AUUGAACGCUGGCGGCAUGCCUUACACAUGCAAGUCGAACGGCAGCACGGGGCAACCUGGUGGCGAGUGGCGAACGGGUGAGUAAUGCAUCGGAACGUACCUUUCAGGGGGGGAUAACGUAGCGAAAGUUACGCUAAUACCGCAUAUUCUGUGAGCAGGAAAGCAGGGGAUAGAAAGACCUUGCGCUGAUUGAGCGGCCGAUGUCAGUUUAGCUAGUUGGUGAGGUAAAGGCUCACCAAGGCGACGAUCUGUAGCGGGUCUGAGAGGAUGAUCCGCCACACUGGAACUGAGACACGGUCCAGACUCCUACGGGAGGCAGCAGUGGGGAAUUUUGGACAAUGGGGGCAACCCUGAUCCAGCCAUGCCGCGUGAGUGAAGAAGGCCUUCGGGUUGUAAAGCUCUUUCGGCCGGGAAGAAAUCGCACGGGCUAAUACCCUGUGUGGAUGACGGUACCGGAAUAAGAAGCACCGGCUAGCUACGUGCCAGCCGCCGCGGUAA
rnacentral:rRNA from 1 species